CCUCGGAUCAGGUAGGAAUACCCGCUGAACUUAAGCAUAUCAAUAAU
rnacentral:rRNA from 1 species